CAGUAGCCACGGGAAUACGUAGGGUGCAAGCGUUAAUCGGAAUUACUGGGCGUAAAGCGUGCGCAGGCGGUUUGUUAAGACAGAUGUGAAAUCCCCGGGCUUAACCUGGGAACUGCAUUUGUGACUGGCAAGCUAGAGUAUGGCAGAGGGGGGUGGAAUUCCGCGUGUAGCAGUGAAAUGCGUAGAUAUGCGGAGGAACACCGAUGGCGAAGGCAGCCCCAUGGGCCAAUACUGACGCUCAUGCACGAAAGCGUGGGGAGCAAACAGGAUUAGAUACCCCCGUAGUCCCUGUCUCUUAUAC
rnacentral:rRNA from 1 species